GGUCAUUUAGCAGCAUAUUGGUCCGGUCCUUAAUUGCCCCGUGCAAAGUCAAGUCAAAUGAAGAUAUAUUUAAACAUCAAAGAAGAUUCAAAUUUGAUCUCUGGAUCCUUAUUUCAUGUAAUGCAACAUUUUGGUUGGAUUCAUGUUUGGUUUUCUUCUAUCAAGUUAUAAACUCAUGCCGCAUACACACGAUCGGAUUUUCUGUCCGAAAAACCUUGGAUAUUUUUUCCCUGACGGAAUUACGCUCAAGCUUGGCUUGCAUACACACGCUCACACAAAAAUUCUCUGAACUUUCGACU